GAACUCUGACCUCAAA
rnacentral:rRNA from 1 species